rnacentral:misc_RNA from 1 species
GACGCUUGUGAUCGGUUGCCUGUGCGGUUCUACCCUCUCGUGGGUAGCGAAGUCGUCCCUCGAUGUAUGUUUGCUUGCCCUGCUGACAUUUUUUUGUCGUUCGGGCAGCCGAAAUGUUGGCGAAGCCCUUGCGUUGGUGCGCGGCCGAAUGCCUCGUUGCUAUCGCUCGGAUUUCUGCCGGCUCUCACGGAUGCGGUGCCUAGUGCUAGCUCUGCGGGACUUUGCCCCGCAGACUUCGGGAGGUCCCUUGCACGGAUCGCUGCUCUUAUACGCCGUCCGUCGUGUUGCCGGUGGCGACGCGCGGAUCGUGUUCUGUCGCGCCGUCAUUGGCGACGCGUCGGGACAGUGUGUCCGGAGCGUGAUCUCGUGCGUGCGGAAUGCCUCUCCGUCCGUAUCAGC